rnacentral:lncRNA from 1 species
CCCAACAAAAAAAAAAGGAGCACAUGACAAUAUAGUCUAGCAACAUAAGAAGUACUAUCUUCAAUUGUGAAACCAAGUCAGAUGUGAACAAUAAUACAAUAACAGAUAUUUAAAAAGCUUUUCAAGGUUAAAAGACACAGCACACUAGAUGCACACCAAUCUCAACUGAAAAAACACUUGCAGCAAGAGAUAGGAUAGUUCGCAUACUACAGUCAGACGAUUUGCCUUCUUCUUCUUCUUCUUCUUCUUUGUUGGGCUCUUUCUAUUCUCUUGUUUUCCUGAUCUUUCUAAAUUUCUCCUGUAUGUACAAUCAAUAAAAUUAAAAUAUUAAAAAUAAGAAAAAAAUUAAAAGACCACCAUAAUACUCGAUAUUACUGUGCAAACAACUACAAAAAAUGGACAGAGUACUUGUGCUUCAUGCAUAAAAUUUGAUCAAAAAGCUAACAUAUUUGUAAAUAUUUAGAGUCUGAAAAUACUAUUUUCC